rnacentral:rRNA from 1 species
GGCUAAUACCGGAUAAUAUUUUGAACUGCAUGGUUCGAAAUUGAAAGGCGGCUUCGGCUGUCACUUAUGGCUGGACCCGCGUCGCAUUAGCUAGUUGGUGAGGUAACGGCUCACCAAGGCAACGAUGCGUAGCCGACCUGAGAGGGUGAUCGGCCACACUGGGACUGAGACACGGCCCAGACUCCUACGGGAGGCAGCAGUAGGGAAUCUUCCGCAAUGGACGAAAGUCUGACGGAGCAACGCCGCGUGAGUGAUGAAGGCUUUCGGGUCGUAAAACUCUGUUGUUAGGGAAGAACAAGUGCUAGUUGAAUAAGCUGGCACCUUGACGGUACCUAACCAGAAAGCCGCGGCUAACUACGUGCCAGCAGCCGCGGUAAUACGUAGGUGGCAAGCGUUAUCCGGAAUUAUUGGGCGUAAAGCGCGCGCAGGUGGUUUCUUAAGUCUGAUGUGAAAGCCCACGGCUCAACCGUGGAGGGUCAUUGGAAACUGGGAGACUUGAGUGCAGAAGAGGAAAGUGGAAUUCCAUGUGUAGCGGUGAAAUGCGUAGAGAUAUGGAGGAACACCAGUGGCGAAGGCGACUUUCUGAUCUGUAACUGA